ACUCAAAUGAAUUGACGGGGACCCGCACAAGCGGUGGAACAUGUGGUUUAAUUCGAGGCAACGCGAAGAACCUUACCAAGACUUGACAUGCCCUCUAUGAGAACCUGAAAGGGAUCUCUUCACUUCGGGUGGGAGGAGCACAGGUGCUGCAUGGCUGUCGUCAGCUCGUGUCGUGAGAUGUUGGGUUAAGUCCCGCAACGAGCGCAACCCUCAUUCUCUGUUGCUAACAGGUUAAGCUGAGCACUCUGAGAAAACUGCCGGUGAUAAGCCGGAGGAAGGUGGGGAUGACGUCAAGUCCUCAUGGCCCUUACGUCUUGGGCUACACACGUGUUACAAUGGCGGUGACAAUGGGCAGCGAAGUCGCGAGAUGGAGCUAAUCCCCAAAAGCCGCCUCAGUUCGGAUUGUACUCUGCAACUCGAGUACAUGAAGCUGGAAUCGCUAGUAAUCGUAGAUCAGCACGCUACGGUGAAUACGUUCCCGGGUCUUGCACACACCGCCCGU
rnacentral:rRNA from 1 species